AAGUCGUAACAAGGUUUCCGUAGGUGAACCUGCGGAAGGAUCAUUAACAAGUCCUGCUGUGCGUGCGGAGCAAUAUGCAUGUGCACAUCCGUUCCAUGUGCCCCGCACAUGACAUUUCUGCGAGUCGUCUGAUUGUCGCUUUAAAUCAUACAAA
rnacentral:misc_RNA from 1 species